rnacentral:tRNA from 1 species
GACCGCGUAGCUCAGUUGGCAGAGCAUUGGGCUAGUAUUCCGAAGGUCGUAGGUUCGAUUCCCGCCGUGGACG